rnacentral:rRNA from 1 species
GACGAACGCUGGCGGCGUGCUUAACACAUGCAAGUCGUACGGUAAGGCCCUUUCGGGGGUACACGAGUGGCGAACGGGUGAGUAACACGUGAGUAACCUGCCCACAACUUUGGGAUAACGCUAGGAAACUGGUGCUAAUACUGGAUAUGUGCUCCUGCUGCAUGGUGGGGGUUGGAAAGCUCCGGCGGUUGUGGAUGGACUCGCGGCCUAUCAGCUUGUUGGUGGGGUAGUGGCCUACCAAGGCGGCGACGGGUAGCCGGCCUGAGGGGUGACCGGCCACAUUGGGACUGAGAUACGGCCCAGACUCCUACGGGAGGCAGCAGUGGGGAAUAUUGCACAAUGGGCGCAAGCCUGAUGCAGCAACGCCGCGUGCGGGAUAACGGCCUUCGGGUUGUAAACCGCUUUCAGCAGGGACGAAGCUUUUUGUGACGGUACCUGCAGAAGAAGCACCGGCCAACUACGUG